UACGUAGGGCGCGAGCGUUGUCCGGAAUUACUGGGCGUAAAGGGCGCGUAGGCGGUCUGACAAGUCUGAUGUGAAAUCUAUGGGCUCAACCCAUAGUCUGCAUCGGAAACUGUCGGGCUUGAGUAUGGGAGAGGUGAGUGGAAUUUCCGGUGUAGCGGUGAAAUGCGUAGAUAUCGGAAGGAACACCUGUGGCGAAAGCGAGGUCCUGGACGCCUACUGACGCUGAGGCGCGAAAGCCAGGGGAGCGAACGGG
rnacentral:rRNA from 1 species